GACGAACGCUGGCGGCGUGCCUAAUACAUGCAAGUCGAGCGAAUCACUAGGAGCUUGCUCCUGGUGGUUAGCGGCGGACGGGUGAGUAACACGUGGGCAACCUGCCUGUAAGACUGGGAUAACACCGGGAAACCGGUGCUAAUACCGGAUAAUCCUUUUCCUCUCAUGAGGAAAAGCUGAAAGUCGGUUUCGGCUGACACUUACAGAUGGGCCCGCGGCGCAUUAGCUAGUUGGUGAGGUAACGGCUCACCAAGGCGACGAUGCGUAGCCGAACUGAGAGGGUGAUCGGCCACACUGGGAAUGAGACACGGCCCAGACUCCUACGGGAGGCAGCAGUAGGGAAUCUUCCACAAUGGACGAAAGUCUGAUGGAGCAACGCCGCGUGAGCGAUGAAGGCCUUCGGGUCGUAAAGCUCUGUUGUUAGGGAAGAACAAGUACCGGAGUACCUGUCGGUACCUUGACGGUACCUAACCAGAAAGCCACGGCUAACUACGUGCCAGCCGCCGCCGUAACAC
rnacentral:rRNA from 1 species